ensembl:lncRNA
ACUGAGAUCACCUAUAGGACUGCGCAUGCCCCUCAGGAGGUACUUAUUUGGUCACAGGUUGUGUUGUUGUAAAGCAGCGGUAUUACUGCUGCGUCACGACCGUGUCUGCGGGGUCAGCCAUGAGAGGAGAGACUUGUGGUAUGGCUGCCAUGCCGGCCAGAACAGAAUAAGUGUGUCUGCGAUUGCUAGGGCUCCUGGAGUCUCCUUCUGGCCUCUUAGCUCACGCCUUGCCUACCCUGGAUUCAGCGAAUAGUGCGGGCAGUGGCUACAGCAAGACAACUGGCGUCACCAGCAGGCUCAGCAAUACCCGUGUCCAAUGUGCAGUUCAAAGCUUUCACUUUUCAGUGUGGAGUUCCCUCCUGAUUAUGGGUCUCAGUGCCAGGGAUGGGGCUUGUGGAGAGAUUGUGUCCCAGCCUCCUUAAUAGAUAUGAGCUUUCUCUCAUUGGCUCAACUAGAAGUUGCUCAGAAUUUUUCUUUUUUAGAGAGAGGGACUUUUUUUAGAGAGAGAGAGAUUUGUUGAGUCCCUGAAAAGAGGCCUCUGCACGCAACCCACUAUAGGCAGUGAAGAAAGGAAAGUAUAUGGGAAUGGGGCGAAGAUAAUGAUUAGCAGGAAUCAACAUAGGAAACUGCUGUUUCCCAGAAGGAGCACACGACCUAUUCCUAAGCUGCUCUUCUCCCAAAUGUAAUGUAUGGAUGUGAGAAUUGGACUAUAGAGAAGACUGAGUGCCAAACGUGUUGGAGAAAACUCUUGAGAGUCUCUUGGCCUGCAAGGAGAUCAAACCUGUCAAUCCUAAACGAAAUCAGUCCAGAAUAUUCAUCAGAAAGACUGCUGCUGAAGCUGAAACUCCAAUACUUUGGCCACCUGAUGUGAAGAACCUACUCAUUGGAAAAGACCCUGAUGCUGGGAAAGAUUGAAGGCACGAGGAGAAGAGGACCACAGAGGAUGAGAUGAUUGUAUGGCAUCACUGACUCGAUGGAUAUGAGUUUGAGUAUGAUCUGGGUGUUGGUGAUGGACAGGGAAGCCUGUUGUUCUGCAGUCCAUGUGGUCGCAAAGAGUCAGACAUGACUGACUGAACUGAAUGUAUGCAUACAUACAUAUCU